rnacentral:rRNA from 1 species
CUGCUGCCUUCCGUAGGAGUUUGGGCCGUGUCUCAGUCCCAAUGUGGCCGGUCACCCUCUCAGGUCGGCUACUGAUCGUCGCUUUGGUGGGCCGUUACCCCGCCAACUGGCUAAUCAGACGCGGGUCCAUCUUAUACCACCGGAGUUUUUCACACACUACCAUGCGGUACUGUGCGCUUAUGCGGUAUUAGCAGUCAUUUCUAACUGUUAUCCCCCUGUAUAAGGCAGGUUACCCACGCGUUACUCACCCGUCCGCCGCU